CAAAAUUUGAUUCUGUGUUCAACCUGAUAUGAUCCAUUUAAUUUCAAAAUGGCAUACUAUAGAGAAACAUGAAGAGAAUUGAAGUUUCUUAUACAAGUGUGGUCAAUUUUUGGUGGAUAUAAAGUACAACAUAAUUUUGAGAUACAUGUCUUAAGGAAGAUAUAAAUCAAAAAUAACUCUGUAAGUUAAAAUGUUGAACACUGCAAGUUUUUUCAAAGCAUCUAUUUGGAAAUUUGAAAGAUUUAUAUUCAAAUAUUAGUAUAAUGCUGCAUUUAUUAAUAGGAUUAGUUUCAAUUUGGAAUAAAUAAUAAUGUUCAAAGUGGAAUCAGAACGAAGUCGAUCAAGCGUCAAAAUGAAAUGAAAUUGAACAAAAUACAACACGAAUUGAAACGGAGGUAAUAGAAAACCAAAACGUGAAAUUUUGCGUAAUCUAUCGAAACACCAAGAUCAGAUUUGCCAGAAACG